GGCUCAGUCAUCCCUCCCCUCUUCUCUCCAACGGUCCAACCCCAAGAGUUUGAAGACACCCAUUAGCUUUAUCUCAUCCCCGUCCAUAUCUGCAGAGAAGGUAUUUACUUGAACCAUAAAAGGUAGUGGAUAGUCUUCUUACAACAUCUGAAACUGUUUCUGCUGAAGCAGUAAUAGGAAAGAGGCUAUUUGUGAAGGUAAAUUUAUGUUUUUGAGAUGAGUGGCUUCAAAAUCUUAGGGUUAUCUCCUUGAGCAUAACAAAUUUUGCUUCAGAAGGGAAGUCCGACUACUGAUAUGCCUCAGAUUCAGGAUAGAACCUCUGGAGAUCUCCUGGAGAAUGCCUCUGGUUCUUCCGUGAAGUCUACAACAGUUCGCUUUCUUGAGUUUUCUGUUUUCUCACAAGAAGGGAUCAACCUUGUUGUUGAUAUCAGUUCAAGCUCAUUGGAUUCGCCUAAGAGAUAUGAAAAUGAAGUCUGCUUGUGUCAAGCUUUCCAGGAGAACAAGUUUCAAAGCUUUCGUCAGGAGCUUGAAUACUUGCAAAAGAACUGUAAACAGAUAAAGAGUUCUUUGACUUGGAGUACAACUUCAAAGACCACAUCUGGAAGUGAUCAUGUGAAAAUUGACUCAUCUCCAAAUUCACUGAAAAGAGAAAAUGAACAUUUGGUGAUUAAUUGUCCAGAUGGGGAAAAUGGGUCUCUGGAAAUGUCUCAAAUGAAAGACUGCAAAGUUGUUCGUGAGGUUUCAGAUGCUGUGGAAAAACAAGAAAAUCCAACUCUUUGCGAGCUUGAUUUAGUUGUUGUUUCUGACACGACCUCAAGUACAAGCUGUGAGGUAAUAGAACCUUCUUGUGCUCCCCAGGCAAAAUCAACCUGCAGUUUCGUGGAAAGCUUAGCAGCAGAUGGAUCAGAAAAUGCAACGGAUUGCCAAAGUACAAGGCUUUGGAAUAAAACUUACAAGAAUGCAGACAUACAAAGCCAUUGGAGUGAAGCAAAUCAUGAAAAUCUAUUUGAUGCUUCUUCAGCAAUUAAUACGCCUGACGUGCAGUCAUCAGAAGAUGCAGGCCUUCAGAAAGAUGCAGCAUGUUCUCCUUUUAUCUAUGAGCCCUUGCUAAAUCCUUUAUAUAAUGUGGAAAGCACUAAAAUGGAAGGGGAAGUAUUGGAGAAUUCUCUUGAAAUUGACCAAAAUGGUCAUUUCAAGUCAUCAUCUGUUGUUGGAGAGGCCUGGAGCUGUAGCGUUAAUGACAUAGAAGCUUCAAGUAAAUCAGGAAACAAAGCAGAAAUGUCCAUAUCUGAUGGAGGAUAUAAAAGAAAGAGACAAUGCUAUCAAUCUGACAAGGUUUUUGGAAUUUGUGGUGGAAAAAUUUUAAGAAGGUCAACGCGUCGUCAUAGUAGCAAAGGUCUCCCAAGAAGAUCCAAGCGGCUUUUUCCUAAGCGACUCUCUGAUUGAACUUGCAAGGCGUUGGAAACUCUGGGAUAGUUGUACAUUCAGGAUUUUCAGUGUUGGAGUUCAGAUUCACGGAAGUACUUAUCCAUAUCUAAUAAAACCUCUGAAGAAUAUUUCUGGAACCUUACCUCAGUUGCUCUCAUCUUUGUGAGUUAACAGUUUCUUCAUUCUUAGAAAUCAAUAUUCGUGCUUACAAGAAAGAACCCACACGGUUAAGCUGAUUUAGUUGUUCAUAUGCCUUCAAUUGUUUUGUACGUUGUAAUAACAAUGUAGGAAACUUCGUAUGUUCUAGUUUUGCCAUCACUUUCUUUUUAAUUGUUGUAAUGUUCUUUGUAAGCUCAGCAACACUUUUCCCUAAAAUAUCUUAGAUGCAAGUAAUUCGUUGAAGAAUGAUGUAAUAAAACAAUAAUUUGAUCU